rnacentral:rRNA from 1 species
GACGAACGCUGGCGGCGUGCUUAACACAUGCAAGUCGAACGGUGAAGCGAGUGCUUGCACUCGGGGAUCAGUGGCGAACGGGUGAGUAACACGUGAGUAACCUGCCCAUCACUCUGGGAUAAGCACUGGAAACGGUGUCUAAUACUGGAUACGACCAACCCUUGCAUGGGGUGUUGGUGGAAAGAUUUAUCGGUGAUGGAUGGACUCGCGGCCUAUCAGCUUGUUGGCGGGGCAAUGGCCCACCAAGGCGACGACGGGUAGCCGGCCUGAGAGGGUGACCGGCAACACUGGGACGGAGACACGGCCCAGACUCCUACGGGAGGCAGCAGUGGGGAAUAUUGCACAAUGGGCGAAAGCCUGAUGCAGCGACGCCGCGUGAGGGAUGACGGCCUUCGGGUUGUAAACCUCUUUCAACAGGGAAGAAGCGAAAGUGACGGUACCUGCAGAAGAAGCACCGGCUAACUACGUG